rnacentral:misc_RNA from 1 species
AAACCGGAAGACUUCUUACAACUAUUUCUUCUCUCAAGAAAAAAAAGGAAACUAUUCAUACAAAUUCUCAGAAAACCAAAAUCUAUCAACAAUUUGCAUUUUCAGGAUACGUGGGUGAAUUGCUAAUGGGAGAACACUUGGCUCUGUGUGUUGAUCGUCUUAUCACACCUGAAUCUUUGCCCUCUAUGCAAGGGUCAGAGGAUGCAGGAUCCUCCGAGGGGGAUUCUUGCUCUCACACAGUAGGUCAAUCUGCCUGUGGCACUGCUAAUAAAAAGGAUGAAGAACCAGAAGAUGGAGGUGAAGAUGAGCCAUUGCUUCAAACUGUGGAAUGCCGAAUUUGCCAGGAAGAAGAUAGCCCGAAGAAUUUGGAGAUUCCAUGUAGCUGCAAUGGAAGCUUAAAGUAUGCUCAUAGGAAAUGCGUUCAGCGGUGGUGCAACGAGAAGGGUGAUAUAAUAUGCGAGAUUUGCCAUCAGCCUUACCAACCUGGAUAUACUGCCCCUCCACCGCCUUCUCUCUCCG